UAGAUACCCUGGUAGUCCACGCAGUAAACGAUGAUUACUAGGAGUUUGCGAUACAAUGUAAGCUCUACAGCGAAAGCGUUAAGUAAUCCACCUGGGGAGUACGCCGGCAACGGUGAAACUCAAAGGAAUUGACGGGGGCCCGCACAAGCGGAGGAACAUGUGGUUUAAUUCGAUGAUACGCGAGGAACCUUACCCGGGUUUGAACGUAGUCUGACCGGAGUGGAAACACUCCUUCUAGCAAUAGCAGAUU
rnacentral:rRNA from 1 species